UACAGAGGUCUCAAGCGUUGUCCGGAUUUACUGGGCGUAAAGAGCGCGUAGGCGGUCUGUUAAGUGUGAAGUGAAAUCUCCAGGGCUCAACCCGGAAACUGCUUUACAUACUGACAGACUGGAGUGAUGCAGAGGUUUGUGGAAUUCCUGGUGUAACGGUGAAAUGUGUUGAUAUCAGGAGGAACACCCAUGGCGAAGGCAGCAAACUGGGCAUCAACUGACGCUGAGGCGCGAAAGCGUGGGUAGCAAACAGG
rnacentral:rRNA from 1 species